rnacentral:lncRNA from 1 species
CAACUGCCACCAAUGCGGAAGUUCCCCAACCGCUCAAGAAAGAACUCUCCGGUGUAUGCAAAGCUUGCUUUUCUGCCGAUGCCGUCACCAAGCAUGCUGAAUUUGUGAGAGAAUACAAACAGGAUUUCGAGCAAGACCUGGAUCCAGAAAGUAGUUCAUUCCCUGCCACACUCGCAGAUUUGACAAUAAAACUGAAAGAGUGGAAAAGCAUUCUCCAGAGCAAUGUUGAAGACAGGUUUCCCGCUGUGUUGAGAUUGGAAGACGAGAGCAAGGUGCUGCGUGACUUCAAUGUUGUUGAUGUGGAGAUACCGGGACAGUACUUCGCUGACCAGGAAGUAGCACCUGAUCAUACAGUAAAGUUGGAUAGGGUUGCAGCAGACAUACAAAUUGUACGAAGGCAUGGAAGCAGCUGCAGACGUUUAACUCUUAUUGGCUCUGAUGGCUCGCAAAAGCAUUUCAUUGUUCAGACAUCAUUGACUCCUAAUGCGAGGAGUGAUGAACGAAUGUUGCAGCUUUUCCGUGUGAUGAACCAAAUGUUUGAUAAGCAUAAGGAGUCAAGAAAACGCCAUUUAGGAAUUCAUACACCGAUCAUAAUUCCUGUGUGGUCUCAGGUAUGCCUCGGAAAAAAAAAAUCAGCCUAGUUCCCCUUUUAGUUCUUGAUUCAGCUCAUUUUUCAUUCAAUGAGUAUAUAUGUGCGGUGCUAGGAUAGCUCGGAAACAAGGGCUGUCUGACGUUUGUGUUCAGAUACUUGACAAAAUGUAUGGACACUCACAAAUGGAAGUACAGGUACAGUUCUGAUAUCUUUAACCUUUCUAUAAUUUGAGCAGAGUUCAUUCAGUUGCAUAAUUCUAUAGAAGAACCUCCUCUUUGGAUUCGGCAUGUAGUUCACAUUAUUUUUCGUUUUUGCCUUUUCAUCUUUACGUAGUUUGUUAAUUAUUUUCCUGGCAUAGCUGUAAAUCGUCCCAUUAACUUAUGUGAUAUUUGAAGCAUGUAUGCAACCUUAUCCUUUCCCUGAUCCUAUAGAAUCUGUUUUCUUUCCCUGCGUAUUUUUCUUUUGGGGAUUGAAAUAACGUUUUUUAAGGUGUCUAAUCGCCUCAUCCGUGUAUGCAGGAAGCCUUUGUUAAAAUUAAAGAGCAGGCAAAGGCCUAUCUGGAAACGAAAGGAGAGCUUGCUACUGGUAUUAAUCUGGUUAAUAGCACAAAUUUGGAGUUCUUUCUAGCUAAGAAUAAGGCAGAGAUAUUUCGUCUAAAGGGGGAUUUUCAUUUGAAGUUAAAUGACACUGAUGGUGCCAAUCUUGCAUAUUCCAAUGCAAUCAGCGUAUUCAAUAAUUUAUCCAAAGGAUGGAUAAGCUGGGGAACUUACUCUGACAUGGUAUUUCUUAUGAUUAGAUGCUGUUUCUUUUCUCGGGCUAUUAAUAUUCCCCCUCUUCUCGUAUUAGAUAAUGUAUUUUUCUUUCGUUUCGCAGGCAUACCAAGAAACAGGAGAUGAAAUCUGGCUAGAAUAUGCUGUCAGCUGCUUUCUUCAGGGUAUAAGAUUUGGAGUUUCCCAUUCCAGAAGUCACAUGGCUCGUGUUCUUUAUCUUCUCAGUUUCGAUACGACAAACGAGCCUGCGGGUAGGAUAUUUGAUAAACACUUGGACCAAGUACCUCACUGGGUGUGGCUUUCUUGGAUCCCGCAGCUGUUGCUUUCCCUGCAGCGAACAGAAGCACCCCAUUGCAAAUUGGUUCUACUGAAAAUUGCUGCAGUAUUCCCGCAGGUAAGUUCCCUUUGGUAUAUUAGAUGAACUCCUUUUUGAUCAUUUCAAUUGAGUAUGAGACUGUUUCUCAUCUCAGGCUCUCUAUUACUGGCUCCGCACAUACUUACUGGAGCGUCGUGAUGCGGCAAAUAAAACUGAACUUAGCAGAGUGAUUAUGGCUCAAAGAAUGCAGCAGAAUGUUCCGGGUGUUAGUGUGGGUAAUUUAUCAUCAGAAACCCAAAUCCAUCAUGGUGCUCAAAGUAGUGGGGCUCUUGGAACCCAUGACAAUGGUAACCCACAUUCCCAAGAAAAUGAACGUUCCACUUUGGAUAACAGUUCAACUAUUAGUGAGAAUAGUCAAAACGCAGCCAUACGGAAUAGUGCUUCGUUGGCAAUCGCGGCUGCUGGUGCUUUUGAUGCGGCAAAGGAUAUUAUGGAAACUCUUAGGAGUAAACAUACCAACUUGGCCAGUGAACUUGAGGUAAUAUUUUGUUUGUGAAAUCUGUAAAUUCUCUCAAUACAUUUUCACCGUUAAGAUUAACUAAAAUGGGGGAAAAGGAUAGACAUAAUACUGUCUGGUACAAAUAGCUUUCAUUCAGAUUUCGACUCAAUUGCACAUUCCCUGCUUCUUUACUUCAAUAGUCUAAUAGAUUAUUUUUUCCUCGUAGAUUCUUCUCACAGAAAUAGGUUCGAGGUUUGUUACUUUGCCAGAAGAAAGGCUUCUUGCGGUCGUGAAUGCUUUGUUACAUCGAUGUUACAAAUAUCCAACUGCCACCAAUGCGGAAGUUCCCCAACCGCUCAAGAAAGAACUCUCCGGUGUAUGCAAAGCUUGCUUUUCUGCCGAUGCCGUCACCAAGCAUGCUGAAUUUGUGAGAGAAUACAAACAGGAUUUCGAGCAAGACCUGGAUCCAGAAAGUAGUUCAUUCCCUGCCACACUCGCAGAUUUGACAAUAAAACUGAAAGAGUGGAAAAGCAUUCUUCAGAGCAAUGUUGAAGACAGGUUUCCCGCUGUGUUGAGAUUGGAAGACGAGAGCAAGGUGCUGCGUGACUU